rnacentral:lncRNA from 1 species
GGAGAUGAGUUGGUUGUUGCGGUAGUAGGCGCCGUAGGUUGCACUGUUGGCGCUUGUUGAGGUUGAUGGGUUAUAGGUGGGGGAGUUGGUGGCACUGCUGCAGAUGGAGCCGUGUUAGGCUGAGCUGGUGUUGUUUCUGUCGAAGGUGUUGAGUGAGUAAUAGGCUGAGUUGGAAGCGGUGGUGUCGAGGACUGUGGUGAUGGCGUUGGAACAGAUGGUGUCAAGGACUGUUGAGGAAUGAUCAGAACUGAUGGGGAUUGUACCUGCAUUGUU